rnacentral:lncRNA from 1 species
GGAAGGAAGAAGUUGGACUAUUUCACCACCAUUAAAAACAGAACUUCAAGCAAAGAAACUGACCAAAACCAAAACCACUUGGAAAGGUUAAGCUGCCAUGGGGACAUUUGUUUGAAUGCGUGCUCAUGUACUGCUGAUGGGAUUGCAAAUGGCCCAUGCUCUUUGGAAAGAAAAUCAGUCUUUAUAGACAUGUGACAAGUGCCUUCCAUAUGGUAGGCAAUGAGCGAAGGCAAAAGAAAACAGCCAACUCAAAAGGGCCUGAGGUAUACAGCUAGACAGCCUGAUUCAGCUUCCAUCACUUAAUGGGUUGGUGGCCUUAAGAAAUGACAAUUUAUCUGCAUUUCAAUCUUUUCAUCAGUAAAAUAUUGCUCAUAACAGCAACCUAAUGGUUGUGGCCAUAAGAAUUUAAUAAGGUAUGCAAACAGCUCAGCACACAGCAGGCUCUUAUGUAAGUUUUGGUCUUCCUCGUACCCUAGCAGCAGACUUGAUUUUAGUAUAUCUUGCUUUUUCUAGAAGGAAAAAACAAACAAAACCUGAGAAAUGUCCUCCAUACAUAGACUUGUGUUCCCUUUUACUUUAAGAAAACCAUCAAGACUUUAAUAUACUCAAGGAGCCCUGUGAAUCCUGAUGCUGAAUCUAGACUUUCUCCUUUCCCACUCAAGACUUUUUAUGAAAAGAUGCUUUUUGCUAAUGGGGCCAUCAUUGUAGAGCUCUCUACACAGUGGCCAACUUUCUUGCCUUUGGAGGAGGUUUGUCUGAGAAAGCUGUUAUAAUGCCUCAAAGAAUAAAAAAUUCUAAAUAGACAUUUCUCCAAAGAAGAUACACAAAUGGCCAAUGAGAACAUGAAAGGAUGUUCAACAUUGUUAGUCUUCAGGGACAUGCAAGUCAAAACUGUAAUGUGACAC